GAAUAUAGGAUCUUCCUCAGCAUCAGUAAUUUCUUUGGAAAGAAUUGGGGAGAAAGAAGAUAUACAUCUUUAAAAGGAAAUUGUCACUACCUCGCUAACCCAACUCUACAAAUAUACCUGACUUCACAGUACCCAAGCAAAGACAGAAUACAUAAUUUUUAAAUCUCCCACUUUCUCUAGGACAGAAAAAUGUAUGAGAAAGGGAAAGACAAAAGCCCUAUCAAAAGCUUAUGGUGACUUGGUUAAAGAAGGUUGCAGGCACUGUGGUAAGAGUUUGGAUGGGUGAAACAUAAUCGUUUGUUUUGUAAUAUGAGGUAAGUUUGGUUGUGAGAUGGGGAAGUGGGAAAGGAAAACCAAACUGAAGCCCUGACCACAGACUUAUUCUAGGCAGAUCAAUUUUAGCAAAAAAUAGAGAAAAUGAAAAUGGAUUUUCUUAUAUCUUUUACUGCCUAUGAAGUUCUUGGAAAACUAUCAUGGAUUCUUAUAGGCACAUGUACCCAGUUGACUAAUUUUUGGUGUAGAUGCUCAAAAACAUUAAAAGUAGCAGUAAAUUUU
rnacentral:lncRNA from 1 species